rnacentral:rRNA from 1 species
UGGGGAAUAUUGCACAAUGGGCGCAAGCCUGAUGCAGCCAUGCCGCGUGUAUGAAGAAGGCCUUCGGGUUGUAAAGUACUUUCAGCGGGGAGGAAGGGAGUAAAGUUAAUACCUUUGCUCAUUGACGUUACCCGCAGAAGAAGCACCGGCUAACUCCGUGCCAGCAGCCGCGGUAAUACGGAGGGUGCAAGCGUUAAUCGGAAUUACUGGGCGUAAAGCGCACGCAGGCGGUUUGUUAAGUCAAAUGUGAAAUCCCCGGGCUCAACCUGGGAACUGCAUCUGAUACUGGCAAGCUUGAGUCUCGUAGAGGGGGGUAGAAUUCCAGGUGUAGCGGUGAAAUGCGUAGAGAUCUGGAGGAAUACCGGUGGCGAAGGCGGCCCCCUGGACGAAGACUGACGCUCAGGUGCGAAAGCGUGGGGAGCAAACA